CGUUAUCCGGAAUGAUUGGGCGUAAAGCGUCCGUAGGUGGUUAUGUAAGUCUGUGGUUAAAGCGUGGGGCUCAACCCCAUAAAGGCCAUGGAAACUACAAGACUUGAGUGAAGUAGGGGUAGAGGGAAUUCCCAGUGUAGCGGUGAAAUGCGUAGAGAUUGGGAAGAACACCGGUGGCGAAAGCGCUCUACUGGACUUAAACUGACACUGAGGGACGAAAGCUAGGGGAGCGAAAGGGAUUAGAUACCCCUGUAGUCCUAGCCGUAAACGAUGGAUACUAGGUGUUGCCCGUAUCGACCCGGGCAGUGCCGUAGCUAACGCGUUAAGUAUCCCGCCUGGGGAGUACGCACGCAAGUGUGAAACUCAAAGGAAUUGA
rnacentral:rRNA from 1 species